UCACGUCUCCCUCCCCUCUCUCUGAGCUCACGUCUCCCUCUCUCGGAGCUCAUGUCUCCUCUCUCUCUCUGUUAUGUAUACGAUGCUUGUCAUUGGAUGUAGGAUCCUUCUAAAUCCGGGACGGUCUCAUCUCUGGAUCCUUAACCCAGUACAUCUGCAGUGACAUCGAUUUCCAAACACGGUCCCAUCACAGGCCCUGGGGCGUGGGCGUGGUCAGUGGUUCUGGGGGCCUCCCUUCAGCCCACUCUCCCCACUCAUCAUUCAGGGGGAAGCUCAGUGGCCCCGGCCACCCCUGCCGCCCACUCAAGCAAUGCCCGCUUCUUCACUACUCGUUUUUCUUUAUGGAGCUCAUUUAUUUCCUUGAUUAACGUGCCUCACCCACUGCCAGGUUACCUGGAGGGCAGGGACACAGUGUAUUUACUCUGAGCUGUGUCCUUGGUCCACGGUGCCGUCUCGGGAAGGCCUGCUGAGUGGGCGAGCGAGUCUCCCUGGGCUGAGGGUUUGUACAUGGGCGGUGGGUGGGCCAGAGCCCUCUCCCCAUUUCAGGAGGGCGUGCUGGUUCCAGACCCCACCUGUGACGGCCUCUCCACAGGGAUUUCCACCCUGGAUCACGGUCACCCCCUUCACUAGGACCCGGCCUGUGCUUUUCUCCUGCUCUGAGAAGGCCUGGGUGCUGCCUCGUGUGAGCUGAGGACGAGGAAGGAGGGCAGAGGUGGAGGAGGGACACACUGUCUUCGACAGGGCGGCCACAGCUCUGAGGCCAGGGCUCCAGGAAUCCAGGCUUGCUCUGGGGUCUUUGAUCUCCGUGUUCUGGGGGCUGCAGGAGCCUCGCUCACAUCCUGACACCCCCUUAGCUCCAAUGCCUGCUCUAGCCCCAGUUCAGGGAUUGCACUGUGGUGGCUGAAAUCUUGUUUGUCCACCAGGAAGACCCCCCUGGACCGGGGCCAAUGGCUGACCCCUCCUCGGCCUUUGUUCUCCUUGUGGUACAUUUGUGACCUCUGUGGCCGGCUCAAUGCCACCUGGGCCGUCUAGGCACGUGGCUGUUCCCGGAGCCCUGGGAAUCACUUUGCCUGCACCUGAAGGGCAGCCAGGACAGAGGGGCCUCUCCUGAGGGCGGUGAGCUGCUUUGCUGUGUCAGAUUCAUGGACUGUAAUGAAAUUCAUCAGAUGAGAAACAGACAAAGGAAAAUACGGUGUGAAAGGUGGAGCCGUGUUCCUCUCCUUUAAAAAGAUUUAAAAAACUGUGAACAGGGCGGAAAUAUUCCUUUGGUCAUGACCCAGCAUUAAAAACGUGUAAAAUCCUGCAUGGUUGCUUCCAGCCCCUCUGUGCUUUUCCUCCAUUCAAGGUACUCGAUUGUUUCUGUAAAAAUCACACACGCUCAUUACAAAGAAUUUAAUCAAUGCGGAAAUGUGCCAAGAAAAAAAUGCCUUCGCCCAGGAAAAGCUGGCACUGGUAUCCAGUGAUCGUGACUCCAGGUGAAUAACGGAGGAGCAGAAACACUCUGAACACGCUGCAGAUUGUCCUGCUUUGCAACGUUGGUUUGCACUCUGUGACGAUAAUGCCUGCGCCACUGGGUAUGGGCCGUCUUUCCACAACCCCGUGCUCCCGCGAACACCGUGGCUGCCGCUUCUCUAUUCCUGAAGUUGGAUUCCACUCUGGAUUGCUUUGCCGGCUGGAAUCUGUGUUUUCAGGAAGGGCUCUUGGGUGCUGACGUUCCUUCAUGCUGGAGGGUGAGCACCUCUGCCUGCGAACCAGGUGCUGCCUUAGCUGGGUGUGGCUUCUGUGGCCCUGCAGCCGUUCCCUCCACACCCAGCCGGGCCCUGCAGCCGUUCCCUCCACACCCAGCCGUGGUUUUCCCGUGUCUUUUGGCUCCGAAGACGGAUGGGAACGACUGAGGCCAGUGUGGCUGAUUAUCUUCUUGUAAAUGGUUUACUUUUUGUUGCCUAAAGAGUCUUCUUUACCCUCAGUGCUCAGGGUCGGAUGUUUUCUUUCAGCAUUUUCUGGAAAAUAAUACCCUCUUCAGAUCCGCCAGUCCAGUGUGUUUAUUAUUAUUAUUGUUGUUUUAGAGAAAUUUGUCUUUGGAGACACCAUGUCUUCCACUUGCUGGGCUCUUGACUUCAGGGAAACCCUUUUUCCUUAUGUUGAUUCUUUGCACGUCUUUCAUGUUGAUUAGCUUCUCUCUCGACGUCUCUUUCAUCUACAUUUACUCUGUUGAUUUCAAGAUUUUCUCCUAGGGCGAUAUUUGAUUUUCAGUGACAGAUAAUACGAAAUAGAAAUGAUAAUAGAAUUUGAAAAAUAUAACUCAGUAAAUGCUGGUGACAUUAUGGCUCCAGGCAAGGAUUAUCAACUGGCAUUAAAACAAUUCCGGGAAUGGCAGACGAGGGGCUGUGUCCACAGGGCACCAGUGCAACCCCGUGAAGAUGACCUUCCGGACGCGGGCGUGGCGAGGCGGCUGGAAAUGGAGGAGGCAGCGUGUGCUCGCUCCCUCCCCGGGCUGACCUCGCCGUGGCUCACACUGGUGCUGUCAUUGUUGUGAGGAACUUGACAGACACAGCGCGGCCUGUGGAAAGCGGACACGCCAGACUUCUGGUGAUUUCAGAAAGCCUUUAGAGUAACCUGCAGCGUCCAGAUAACGGCAGAGGUGGAGCUAAGAACACCAGGCAGAGCAACGCGACCGUCCAGCCACCGAGGCGCCUGCAGAACCAGCGUCCGGUGUCCCCUCAGCAGGCCGGACUCUGCUUGGUGGCACGACAGCCCAGGGCCACAUGUAGCUCCCGAUGGGUUCUGCUUUCCACAGACCUACUGCCCGGGACAGUUUUUAGGUCAGUUCAGGCCUGAGUAUUCACUGAGUCAAAACAGUGUGAAACGGAAGGAAGGGGACCGUGCACCGAUCUAAGCAGGCAGCGGUGAGGGGUGUGUGCCGGGUGCCCACGCAGGUGUGGGCUGUGUGAGUGUUCGCACAAGGAAGGGGCUGAAGGGUCUGCACUGUGGAAACGUGGAAUUUUCAUUUUUAUUUUUUUGUCGGAGUCUUACUCUGUCUCCCAGGCUGGAGUGCAGCAGCAUAAUCUCGGCUCACUGCAGCCUCCACCUCCUGGGUUCAAGCGAUUCUCC